GUGUAACACUAUUAAACCCUUGAUAUGAGUGUCAAAAAAGCAACAACCAGAAAAUAAAUAUUUUAAAAUUUGCUAGAUACAAAAUUAUUUAGUUUCCCUUAAAUUAAAAACAUGUUUCGGUGUUUAUUCAUCACAAUUAAUUGUUUUUAUGUACUCAGUUCCCUUUUGUUUUUUGGUUCACCGCAAGCGGAAGGACGUCCGUUUCACGCCUACUUCGUGUCAUUCAUCAUUGUUCUUCUGUGGCCUAUUUUUCACAUUGUAAUAAUAGUUCUGGUUUUCUGUAAAGACGUAACUAUUUGAACAUCGAAAUAUUCCUAGCAAGUCAGUAAUGUUGUUGCAGCGGUAUUUGACAAUGUUGAGUUGGAUCACCUUCGCUUGGUUGGCUGCAUCUCACGUAAUUGCAUUGUAUCUUUUGCUCAACGCCAACGGAGCUGUCCUUUGGUACGACUUCUUGGGUUCGCAAUGGAUCGACUCAUAUGAGUGGUGGCUAUCCAUGGCCUGGGUAGUCGCGGUAUAUAAUGCGGCGCUUGCAAGUUUUGUGCUUCAGCUGUGUUAUGUCAGCAAUUACGAUGCAUUGGAAUACAUCAUAGACGCCCCUGUUUGAAAGUUCAGGAGGUACAAACUUAUGCGGAGCUUCGGAAAAUAGACAGAUAAACUAAUUUAUAAGAUACUUUUUGUGUAAAAAAUGUAAUCGAAGAAAAUAUAGCUUGAGCUUUAAUGUCCUUGCA